rnacentral:rRNA from 1 species
AACGAACGCUGGCGGCAUGCCUAACACAUGCAAGUCGAACGAAGCCUUCGGGCUUAGUGGCGCACGGGUGCGUAACGCGUGGGAACCUACCAUCAGGUUCGGAAUAACAGUUAGAAAUGACUGCUAAUACCGGAUAAUGUCUUCGGACCAAAGAUUUAUCGCCUUUUUGAUGGGCCCGCGUUGGAUUAGCUAGUUGGUGGGGUAAAGGCCUACCAAGGCGACGAUCCAUAGCUGGUCUGAGAGGAUGAUCAGCCACACUGGGACUGAGACACGGCCCAGACUCCUACGGGAGGCAGCAGUGGGGAAUAUUGGACAAUGGGCGAAAGCCUGAUCCAGCAAUGCCGCGUGAGUGAUGAAGGCCUUAGGGUUGUAAAGCUCUUUCAGUCGAGAAGAAAAAGCUGCAGUGAAUAACUGUAGUUCAUGACGGUAUCGACAGAAGAAGCACCGGCUAACUACGUGCCAGCAGCCGCGGU